AAUAGCAAUUCCGGUUGAUCCUGCCGGAGGCCACUGCUAUCGGGGUCCGACUAAGCCAUGCGAGUCAUGGGGGUGUCCCUCUGGGACACCACCGGCGGACGGCUCAGUAACACGUCGGUAACCUACCCUCGGGAGGGGGAUAACCCCGGGAAACUGGGGCUAAUCCCCCAUAGGCCUGAGGUACUGGAAGGUCCUCAGGCCGAAAGGGGCUU
rnacentral:rRNA from 1 species